rnacentral:rRNA from 1 species
UACAGAGGGUGCGAGCGUUGUCCGGAAUCACUGGGCGUAAAGGGCGCGUAGGUGGUGGCUUAAGCGUGCGGUGAAAGCUCGGAGCUCAACUCCGAGUCGGCCGUGCGAACUGGGCUCACUGGAGCAUAGUAGAGGCAGGUGGAAUUCCGGGUGUAGCGGUGGAAUGCGUAGAGAUCCGGAAGAACACCGGUGGCGAAGGCGGCCUGCUGGGCUAUGGCUGACACUGAGGCACGAAAGCGUGGGGAUCAAACAGG